rnacentral:rRNA from 1 species
UACGUAGGGCGCAAGCGUUGUCCGGAAUUAUUGGGCGUAAAGAGCUCGUAGGCGGUCUGUCACGUCUGCCGUGAAAACCCGAGGCUUAACCUCGUGGCUUGCGGUGGAUACGGGCAGACUAGAGGUAGGUAGGGGAGAACGGAAUUCCCGGUGUAGCGGUGAAAUGCGCAGAUAUCGGGAGGAACACCGGUGGCGAAGGCGGUUCUCUGGGCCUUACCUGACGCUGGGGAGCGAAAGCAUGGGGAGCGAACAGG